rnacentral:misc_RNA from 1 species
UGGCAGUGUAAAAGAACAUGGAUACAAAUUACAAAAUCUCUUUUUGAAUUUUUCAUGAGACUAAUUAACUUUGAUCAUCCCAUUUCUCUUUUUCUUGAACGUGAUUUCCUUGAGAAUCGAAGGACGACGAGACUUUAGCAGAAUGACCCUUCUUGAACACUCGUCGGAAGAAGCAACCACUGGAUGAGGAGUUCUUGCUUUCCUUUAAAUCAGCAGCAGAAACAAACCCUUUCUCUGCUGCUUCUCUCUUCAUCUUUUCCUUGUACAGCUUUCUCAUGGUAUAAGCUUCCGCCAGAGUAGACCCUCCAAAAGCAGCUCCUGUUGCCAUGGAUCGAUAUAGCUA